AAGUUCUCUCACAGCUCGCCGCCACCGCCCCCCCCAAGCUCUCAAACUUCCCCUUUUGAACCCUCCGGGUCCCCGUCCAGACAUGCUCAGUACAUAGGUUCUUAUCCAUACAUAGUCAGGGGCAUGUGUUUUUUGCACAUGCUCAGUUGCAAAGUUUUCCCCAUGCAUGUUCCUGGGCUGUGUUACCGGCGUCCGUGGUCUGGGGGUUUCUUUGUGGGCCGGGGUCUCUGUGAUGAAGAUUUUUAGUCUUCCUCGAUGUCCGCAAGAUGAACCCGGCUUGGAGCAUGCGCCUUUAAUAGGUAUUUUUCCUCCCGUUCCAGUCUUAUCGUCUAUAUAAAUCACUUUGACUCUUUGUUUAGAGGAAGCUUCUCAGUGUCCCCAGCUGGUGUAGUUAAUUACACUGCCAGACUUCCCUCCCCCCUUCCUUAUCAGCCUCGGGAACAAACAGCAGCUUGUUAGAAGCAGUUAACAGCUAUGUGGGAAAUACAAACGGAAAUCACAUAUCAAUGUCCUGAAGUUUUACUAAGCUUAACAAAAAAAAAAAAAGAAUCCCCUUUAAAAUAUAGUUUAUUACAGCCCCUUCCCGCCGGGUCCGGCCUGCUGGGACAUGCGGAGUCCCUGAAAGCCUUGGUGUCUUCGGUGAGACCCUCGGGGGUCAGAACCCAAAAGCUCCCCAGUGACACUACCUAAAAACUGGUGUUUAUUAAGGCAUCACAAUGUGUCCUAGGCUAUGGUGCAACUGGGCCUGGAAAUAAUGAUUAAGGGGUAUGUAUAUGUAUAUGUAUGUAUAUGUAUAUGUAUGUAUAUGUAUAUGUAUAUGUAUAUGUAGAUAUGUCAAGAAAACAUUUAACACACCUAAGUUGCCUUACUGGUACGUAAUUUUUAACUCUAAUGCAUCUUCUCUGUGAUAGUGCCUAUGCUGCUAUUCACAGGUGCCUAUAGCUCCACUUCAGGCUGUAGAAUCAAGUCCUGGCCCUAUUUCUACAUUAAGUGAAGCCUAUUUUCAUGACUGAAAUUCAGGGACAGGAUAUUCAUGGUUGUAAUACAUACUUUCAAAGUGAAUUGCCUUAAAAGAUAGACAGCCCCUACUGCACGCUUUGUCAGUGUGUCCCCCCCCAAGCUCUGAAUACACAACGUGACAGUCUGCCUAAAGCAUCUCAAUGGACAUCAUUAAUGCAAAAUUGGGUUUUAUUCAGAAGCAUAAUUUAAAUUCUUACAUGCCAGCCUACCACGCAUCUUCAGUAGACUCACAAUCUAUAGGCAAUUUUAUCUAAGAAAAGUUAAUUUUGGAGAAAUAAUAUGUACAGUGAAAACUUGAAGAAAUAAUAUGUACAGUGAAAACUUGAAGAAAUUUGUGUUUAACUUAUCACCUGUUCAACAUUUGUCUGAAAUAAAGUCAGAAAUUGAUAAUAAAACCAUUGUAUUUAACCUUGAUUAUAUAGUUAUAACCUUAUCUAACAGCUCUUGUAGGUAUUUAUCUGGCAGGCUAAAUCUCAUUCCUUCUGCUUUUGGUUUACUGAAGCUGACUAAAAAUGCAGUUAUUCCAAAAUGUAGCUGUCUGGGCCUGCCACAAGCCAGAAAACUUAGAGGAACUCUUGCACAAUAAAUGUGUGGACAGUUGAACCCUUGUAACAUGGAGCUCAUCCAGAAAAAGGCAUCAUCCCAUGGCAUAAUCUCCAAAGCAAUUAAGCGUGGCCUCUUGCUGAAUUCCUUUGGUGCUGAUUUAUAUGCUGUGAGACUUUUGACUUCUUCUAAGGAUCUCAAAAAUCUGGAAGAUGCUGUGAAGACAUUGGACAGAUGCCAUGGCAACAGCCUCCAAAGGAAGUAUGUUGGUUUGUCUACCUGCAAGGAUAUGCCAGAGGAAUUAUUCUUGUCCUAUGUGGGAUAAAAAUAAUCUUGUUCAUUUACAUGUCUUCAUACAUGUUAGGAAAGAAAGAUAUUUUUUUUUAUAUCAUCAUGAAAUCGUCUUUAGUAUUCAGGAGCACUGAAUACUUCUAGGGUAGGUGUGGUGGGUUGACCUUGGCUGGACACCAGGGGCCCAUCCAGCUACUCUGUCACUCCCCUUCUCAGCCAGGAAAGGGGAGAGAGAAUAAGUUGGAAAAUGACUCAUGAGUUGGGAUAAGGCAGUUUAUUAAAGCAAAAGCAAAACAAGAGCUUCAUGCACAAAAGCAAAGAGAAAAAUAACAAGGUUUAUUCUCCACUUCCCAUCAGCAGCAAUGGCCAGUCACUUUCCCGAGAAGCAGGGCUUCAGCAGGUGUAAUGUUUUCUCAGCAGGCAACCAUUGGAGACAAUGAAUGCCCCCUUUGCAGCCAUUGGAGACAUUGAAUGCCCCCUUUCCUGCUCCUUUCCUUAGCUUUUAUAUCUGAGCUGAUGUCAUAUGGUCUGGAAUAUCCCUUUGGUUAGUUUGGGUCAGCUGGUCUACUUGUGUCCCCUCCCAGAAUCUUGCCCUCGAUCGAGGAAGGAAUGUUACAGUGCUGAUGCUGUGCUCAGCAGUAGCCAAAACACCGGUGUGUUAUCAACACCCUUCUAGCUGCCAAUGCAAAGCACAGCACUGUGAGGGCUGCUAUGGGGAAAUGAACUCCAGAUCAGCCAGACCCAAUACAGUAGGUAAUGGGCAGAGAUGUGGCUGAUCCAGCACAAUCCCAGAAGCUCUUAGCUGCAGUGCAGGUCAUGGGUCACUGCUAAUAGUGAACUCCAGCUUACUCAAAACACACAGACUCACAUACUAACAACUGCUGAAUGGUACCAGCUAAAUUCAGCACUGGCUAAUUCACCCUUCUGCUUCAAUGCAUAGGAAGUAGUUCAAACGAUUUAGGUGACACAUCUGGAUUUCAGGACUGUCUUUUCAGUGUAGGAAACAGCAGUCUGUCACUGCAACCUAUGUCCCUGUGGUGGUUUGACCCUGGCUGGCUGCCAGGCACCCACCAAAGCUGCUCUAUCACUCCCCUUUGCAACUGGACAGGGGAGAGAAAAUCUAACAAAAGGCUCAUGAGUUAGGGAGAGAUCACUCACCAAUCACCAUCAUGGGCAAAAUAGACUUGACUUCAGGAUAUAUAAUUGAAUUUAUUACCAAUCAGAAUCAGAGUAGGAUAAUGAGAAGUAAAACAAAUCUUAGAAACACCUUCCCCCCACCACUCCCUCCUGGGCAUGACUUUAUUCCUGAGUCUCUACCUCCUCCCCUUAAGUGGCACAGGGAGACAGGGAAUGGGGGUUAUGGUCAGUUCACAUGUUGUUGCUGCUGCUGCUUCCUCCUCAGGGAGAGGAGCCCUUCCCCUGCUCCAGCAUGAGGUCCCUCACACAGGAGACAGUCCUCUAUGAACUUCUCCAAUGCAAGUCCAUCCCAUGGGCUUCAGUUCUUCACAUGCAAACCCAAUACAGUCCCAUUGCAGCUUCUGCCCAGCACUUUUGGUCCAGUCAGGUCCAGUGAUGGGAGAAAUUCUUUGUUGUGCCAGCAAAACUGUGAUCCUAUUAAGCAUCUCAAUCAGGGUUUAUUGAAUACUGUGGAAGCAGGUGCCUUUCUGUAUCCCCUAGCACCAUGUUCUGCUGCCUGUCCUAUCUGGUUGGGGUUGAAAAACGGAAGCAAAAUGCAACACUGGACAUACUCAUUCAUUUUUUUCUUCCAUCCCUCUGGGAUACAAGCCUCUCUGCCUCAAGUUGACCCUAUCCAAGGCCCAUGGACCUUCCUGACCUUCUUGUUCUAUUGUGGCACUUUGAUGGGGAAGAGGAGAAUCAGUCACUACCAGUCUCUCCUCACAACUAAAGCAGAGCAGCCUUACAGAUAAGUCCAGCUCAGGGACAGGGAGACCAAAACCAGGGCUGACUCGGCAAUACAGAGGAAAGUGGGUAUGUGCACCAAAUAACCUCAGUGGUAUUUGUUUUACAUAGGUUUGGUGUCAUACUACAUAGGACCAUUGUCACGGUGCAGUACAGCCAUACAGUACCUGAUGUGACUAUGGUGGAAUUUGUAUUUGUUCUAUGACACUUGAACACUGCUGAAAGGUGUGAUGGUUCAGACUUGGCUCCCUGCCAAAUGCCCAAACUCACAGUAACAACCCUUUCCCCCUCCCUUCUUUUCUUAGGGCAAAGGAAAAAAAACUAUAAAAAUUGAAGAACCCGAAAUCAAACUAGUUAUAUAAAAAUAUAUAUUUUACCUAUAUUACAGUUUUACACAAUUAAAAUGCUAUGUACACAGCGAAGGGAAUCCAAACACCCCCGAAGGGAAAGGGGAAAAAGGGACAAAAAGGGACACAGAACAGAUAUACACAAUCAAACCCAAGAACUAGCAAAGUAAAGAACUAGCAAAACAAAUCUCACCAUGUCCCUCAGAAAAACAAGAUCACAAGACACGGCCAGCACUCUCCAAGCCUCCUGCGUGGUAGAGCAGUGGUCGCUGCAGGCCUCAGCCUCUAGAUAAGCGAGACCAAUGCAAGGAUCCACUGCUCCUGAACCUCAUGGGAAGAGAAGAGAAUGAAGGCCUCUCCUCCCUUCUUAUUUAUACCCUGGUCUACGUAAAAAUUGUAUGGAAUACUGGGAACAUGGCCACUUCCUUGGUUACAAAAUGCUCACCAAGGAAGACCUAGAUUAAAACUACCACAAAAGGACUUGUGUGUAGCAAAUGCAAGACUGAUAUCUAAACAAUUUCUGUCUAAUGUCAUCAUUUUGGCAUCACUUACUUGUGCACAUGUGGAACGCCCUUUGUGCAAGUGAGGAUGACUGCAAGGCAUAGGAAUGGUGAAGAUUCAAGCUUGAUAUAUGCUAGAAGCUAGUUGGUGUUUGAUACCAAUUAUCUUCAGAGAUGCAGACAAGGUAAAGUCUUUAUUUCUAAAUGUGAUCUCUUAGGUCAAAGGAAUGCUUUUAGGUCCUUUUGGAUAUUGAACACUUUAACCUUGGUAACAAUGUCUCAGGAAGGCUGCAGGAGAACUGAAGAAUUCAAGGGCCAAAUUUUCAUGAAGGUCAGUUUGAAUGCCUUUGUUUCUGGAUAUCAUCGUGAUUUGCAGAGAUAGACACCUCAUUUGAAUUAAUGGGGAAGAAAAACUACCUGAAUAUCCAUUACCAAGCAGUCAAAAGAAAUGUAACUUUUUUUGUAUGUGUCAUGGUUUAACCCCAGCAGGCAACUAAGUAUCACAGCCACUCGCUCACUCUACCCCAUCCCAACCCCCCAGUGGGGGGAACAGGAAAGAAAAAGUAAACCUCGUGGGUUGAGAUAAGAACAGUUUAAUAAUUGAAAACAAAUAUAACAAUGAUAAUAAUAAUAGUAACAGCAACAAUAACAAUAAUAAUAGUAAUUAUAAGGAGAGUGAGACAGUAACAGAGCCCAAGAGAAACAAGUGAUGAACAAUGCAAUUGGUCAGCAGGUGGUGAGCAUGACAUUCCACGGUAUGGAAUAUCCCUAUGGCCAGUUCAGGUCAGCUGUCAUGGCCAUGCUCCCUCCAAGCUUCUUGUGUAGUUCCUCCCUGGCAGAGCCUGAGACACUGAAAAGUGCUUGACUCAGGAUAAGCACUGCUCAGCAACAGCCAAAAUGUCACUGUGUUUUCAACAUGAUUCUGUACUGAAUCCAAAUCACAGCACUGUACCAACUACUGAGAAGAAAAUUAACUCUAUUCCAGCCGAAACCAGGACAGUAUGCUAUCCACAUUCUUCACUUUGAAAACUUUUGAGUGAAUUUGAACCAGAAACACUAGCAACCACAAGAUGACAGUAUAGUUCAACUAAAACUCUUCUCUUAAACAACCCUGUAAAAACUCUCUAAACAGUAACAGUAAAUUAGGUUAAUUAAUUGAAAACAAUAUUAUUUGUACAGUUCUUAAGUCUCUGUGACAAUAACUGAAAAUAUGAGCAAACAGUAAUGCUUAUGAAAAAGGCUGCUGCAUCCUGCUAAGAAACUAAUGAUUAUAAUACAAAAAGACUUAUAUUUCUUUAAAAUGAAAAUGAGUAGAAGAAAAUUAAACAGCUGUCACAAACAUAGGAAAUUUCUUGCUAAAAUAUAGUGGAAAAUAUAAAAAAAAUGAUCAAACUAAUUUGUAUAACAAAGCUUAUAUAACAUGUAUAAAAUACAUUUGAUACUGUUGCUUCCUAUAGCCAGUCCUCAAUGGGAAGAGCCCCUUUAUCACAACUAUGUACUCUUUCCAUGCAUUCAGACUCUUCCAUAAAAACCAGCACAAAAUAUGACCUCACGUGUAGCAUAUUAAAAUCAACACCAGAGUUUAAUAAUAAUGAUCAAUUAUCCAAACUCACACUAAAGAGGGCCUCUGAGUGUUUUUCUCAGUAUUGAAAUUUUCAUAGUCACUCAUCCUUUCUAUUUAUAAUGGCAUGAAUGGGUUGGUACUGAUGAUCACAUCUCUUCUACAAACUCAUGAGCAGUGCUCAUGCAAGUAAGUUACAUUAGAAGAGCAAUAUUUUUCUAUUAUGGCUCAGUAGCAUUGGACAGAGAGACCAGAUAAUAGUCUUCAGAUCACUGACAAAUGCUUGGAGGGUGACACUAAUGCUUGGUAAAUCAUGGUUGAAGCAUGACUACCAUUACAAACAUAGCAGGAGCAAGAGCUUUCCACUCACUUCCUCAACUGCAUUUAACCUUUACCUUGGGAUAGCCAGGAAGGAUCCUGGGUCCUUCCCCACAAGAAAUCCCACUAAAAUCUUUCUUUGUUGUUACAUUUUGCUAGGGGAACAGGGGCAACAUACCUCUAUACAACAGAGAUAACUACAAACCUGGGACAUGUCACACAGUGCAACAGUGUCUUACAGAAUUUUAAAAUUUCCCUAGGUUUUGGGGUUUUUUUAAUGCUUAGACACAUUACAGAGUUGUGGGGCAUUGUUGCACCAAAGCAGUAAGUCUCAAAGGGGAUUUCACUGGCUAACCUCAAGCUCGCAGAGGUGGUGGCAUGGCAAUUUGGGCUAAGCACUAGAAGGAAUGCCUACAAGAAAGCUGCAAAUUCCUUUACAAGGCAACAGCCAUUUUCUUCUCUUUUCAGUUGUAUAGCAACUAAAUAUUCUCAUUUUCUCAGUGUUAUUUUGAUAACAAGCAACCUAUAUUGAUCUUGUUUUGUUUGACAUUGUUGUCUUAAACCUUUAUUGCAUUAUUCAUGCACAAAUAUAUGCACACACAAGCCUUGAACAAAAUUUUCACUGGAGAUACACAACAAGCUUUUGAACCACCUGUUGUGUUUUUGCCCUGGCUCAAUUUGCUUUCACACCUCCCACACAAUUACUAAUCAGUUGAGAGAAGGUUUAUGCAGACAAAAGAGACUGGAUUGGGGAAAAAAGUAUGACUAUUUAUUACUAGUACAAUAAAAACUACUAAAGAAUUAUAUCUACAAUAAUCUUACUUAAGUAAAAGGUGCCAUGUAUUUACAGAAAAUACUCCUCCCCCCCCCUUUUUAUAUCAGUCCAAGGAGGAGAAGCAGUUUCCAUCUCCAUUCUCGGAGUUCCAGCUCUCUCUCUCCAGUAACUCUGCAGCACCCUCAUCGCAGCUGGAACUCUUUCUCCUUCUCUGUGUUGGCCUCCAGGGCUGGGCCUACCCUCCUCUUGGGCUAAGGCCAGAGGCUGGGGGUUACCCAGGUCCUGAAGGUUUUUCUUCCAUAGGCUUGCAAGGGGACACUUGCUUACUAUGGAUCUUCUUCCACGGGGUUACAGGGGAUAAUGGUUUAAGAGUCCACCCCUGUUCUCUAUGGAGGUCCCUCCCCAUGGGAGAACAGUCUUUGAUAGACUUCUCUGGCAUGAGUCUAGUAUGGAUCCCACACAUGGAUCCCAACAUCCUUACCCGAGCCGUUUCUGCUCCAGUGUAAGGCUUUCUCUCUCUCUCAAAGUCACAAAUCUUCAGUAGCAGCAUGGAUCUUUCACACAGAUCCCAAAAUCCCACCUGGGCCAUCUUGCUCCAGUGUGAGGUUCUCUCAGGGUCACAAAUCUCCAGCACCAGCAGCAUGGAUCUCUCACUGAGAUCCCAAAGCUUAUCCGAACCGUCCUCAC